AUGAACGCUGGCGGCGUGCCUAAUACAUGCAAGUCGAGCGAACGGACGAGAAGCUUGCUUCUCUGAUGUUAGCGGCGGACGGGUGAGUAACACGUGGAUAACCUACCUAUAAGACUGGGAUAACUUCGGGAAACCGGAGCUAAUACCGGAUAAUAUUUUGAACCGCAUGGUUCAAAAGUGAAAGACGGUCUUGCUGUCACUUAUAGAUGGAUCCGCGCUGCAUUAGCUAGUUGGUAAGGUAACGGCUUACCAAGGCAACGAUGCAUAGCCGACCUGAGAGGGUGAUCGGCCACACUGGAACUGAGACACGGUCCAGACUCCUACGGGAGGUAGCAGUAGGGAAUCUUCCGCAAUGGGCGAAAGCCUGACGGAGCAACGCCGCGUGAGUGAUGAAGGUCUUCGGAUCGUAAAACUCUGUUAUUAGGGAAGAACAUAUGUGUAAGUAACUGUGCACAUCUUGACGGUACCUAAUCAGAAAGCCACGGCUAACUACGUG
rnacentral:rRNA from 1 species